AGUACAGCAAGUGGGGCUGGACAAAGGGCGUUGCUCCACGUCACUCUACGGAGAUCUUUAUACAACUCCUGCUUAACUGUGGGUAGUUGCUCCUCCAGUUUGUCUUAGGUCGAGCAGAUUUUAAUAGAAGUAAACUUGCGAACUAAGUCGGCCGGGCCACAUCGGCGAGCGCUGGGGGGCCGGCGUCGCCAUGACGCAGGUCAGCAGCGAGGAGUUCGGCGCGCUGCCCGAUGGCAGGCGUGUGCGCCGCUUCCUGCUGCGGUCCGACUCGGUGUCGCUCCGCGUUCAGACGUUCGGCGCCAUCGUGACGGGCCUGGAGACCAAGGACCGGCGUGGCAACGCUGCGGACCUCAUCCUGGGCUUCGACACCCUCGAAGGCUACAUUAACAAGCAUCCCUACUUCGGGGCAGUGAUUGGCCGUGUUGCCAACAGAAUUGCAGAAGGGAAAUUCAGCAUAGAUGGGAAGGAUUAUCAACUGCCCAUUAAUAAUGGGCCUAAUAGUAUACAUGGUGGCCUGAAAGGAUUUGACAAGGUCCUUUGGACCCCUGAAGCCCUACCCAAUGGAGUGAGGUUUUCAAUGACGAGUGCUGAUGGUGAAGAGGGAUAUCCUGGAGAGCUUAAAGUCUCGGUGUCUUAUGUGCUGGAUGGAAAAGAACUGACUAUUAACUACAAGGCUGAAGCCACCAAGACCACACCAAUAAACCUGACCAACCAUUCCUACUUCAAUCUAGCUGGACAUGGAACCCCCAAUAUCUAUGACCAUGAAGUUUCAAUAGAAGCUGAUUACUAUCUACCGGUUGAUAAGACAUCAAUUCCAACUGGUGAAAUUGCCUCAGUCGCAAACACUUACUUUGAUCUGAGAAAACCUGUAGUACUUGAAAACCUCAUUGAGAAUAAGCUAAUGGAAGGCUUUGACCACAAUUUCUGUUUAAGCCUCUCAAAGCAACGAUCACCUUGUGCAAGGGUAUAUCAUCAGCCAAGUGGCAGGCUGCUGGAGGUUGAGACAACACAGCCUGGAAUUCAGUUUUACACUGCCAAUUUUCUUGAUGGGAGCUUGAAAGGCAAAGGAGGAGCUGUAUACCCUAAGCAUUCAGCUUUUUGCUUGGAAACUCAGAACUGGCCUGAUGCCGUCAACAAGAUCACAGGAACCCACCCAGACCACCGAUUCUUUCAAAUGUUCGUAUAUUGCAGAAGAAUUUCCCAGAUGCAUUGCUGAGACCUGGUGAAGAAUAUAAUCACACAACAUGGUUUACUUUCUCUACUGUGAAAUAGUAAUCUUGACUUGUGUACAGCCUGCAGAUGUGAAGACAGAUUUGCUGACUACUGCGGAGCUGUAGGCAACCAUUGCUCGACACUAAUUGAAAUCUUGCCACAAGGAGGAGCCCAAGAAUAUUGUCUAGUUAACACAUUGAUCUCUAUUUUGCAAAUUCUUUCUAGAAACAUGUAACAGUUCAUUUUUAAAACCAUCAGGAGCAUUUAAAACCUCUAGAUUUUUAAAAUGUAAUUAUUGACCUGAGAUGGGCUUGAAACUAAAUUUGCUAACGUUUUUUUAAGAAUGGCAAAACAAGAUUUUCAAACCAUUCGUAUGGAUUGCUUGAGUUACUACUAUGGAUUAUACUGGCAGUACUUGAUCUCAUGGAUGUUUCUCAAAAUCAUGGUAAGGAUAGCUUUUCUGUACAGUACAAAGCUACUUUUAAAUCUGCAAUCACAAAGGUGAAGAGCAAAAAAAAAACUUGCAAGUGGUAAUGAUUUUAAAUUAAUUUUCAAAAGGGAAUUGGAUAAAUAUCUCAAAUUUCUAGGACCAUGGUGUGAGAAG